rnacentral:rRNA from 1 species
ACUCAAUAGAUACCCGGGUAGUCCACGCCCUAAACGAUGUCUACUAGUUGUCGGGUCUUAAUUGACUUGGUAAACGCAGCUAAACGCGUGAAGUAGACCGCCUGGGGAGUACGGUCGCAAGAUUAAAACUCAAAGGAAUUGACGGGGACCCGCACAAGCGGUGGAUGAUGUGGAUUAAUUCGAUGCAACGCGAAAAACCUUACCUACCCUUGACAUGGCUGGAAUCCCUGAGAGAUUGGGGAGUGCUCGAAAGAGAACCAGUACACAGGUGCUGCAUGGCUGUCGUCAGCUCGUGUCGUGAGAUGUUGGGUUAAGUCCCGCAACGAGCGCAACCCUUGUCAUUAGUUGCUACGAAAGGGCACUCUAAUGAGACUGCCGGUGACAAACCGGAGGAAGGUGGGGAUGACGUCAAGUCCUCAUGGCCCUUAUGGGUAGGGCUUCACACGUCAUACAAUGGUACAUACAGAGGGCCGCCAACCCGCGAGGGGUAGCUAAUCCCAGAAAGUGUAUCGUAGUCCGGAUUGUAGUCUGCAACUCG